GGAGGGAUGGCCGAGUGGUUUAAGGCGCUGGUCUUGAAAACCUGUGUAUCCGUCAGGGUACCGUGGGUUCGAAUCCCACUCCCUCCG
rnacentral:tRNA from 1 species